rnacentral:rRNA from 1 species
AACGCUGGCGGCGUGCCUAACACAUGCAAGUCGAACGGAGAGUAUAUGAACAAGACUUCGGUCAAGUGAGUAUAUUUCUUAGUGGCGGACGGGUGAGUAACGCGUGAGCAAUCUGCCUUUUAGAGGGGGAUAACGUUCUGAAAAGAACGCUAAUACCGCAUAAAGUAUAUUGAUGGCAUCAUCGAUAUACCAAAGGAGCAAUCCGCUAAAAGAUGAGCUCGCGUCUGAUUAGAUAGUUGGUGGGGUAACGGCCUACCAAGUCGACGAUCAGUAGCCGGACUGAGAGGUUGAACGGCCACAUUGGGACUGAGACACGGCCCAGACUCCUACGGGAGGCAGCAGUGGGGAAUAUUGCACAAUGGGCGAAAGCCUGAUGCAGCAACGCCGCGUGAGGGAAGACGGUCUUCGGAUUGUAAACCUCUGUCCUUGGUGAAGAAACAUGACGGUAGCCAUGGAGGAAGCCACGGCUAACUACGUG